GACGAACGCUGGCGGCGUGCUUAACACAUGCAAGUCGAGCGGUAAGGCCUUUCGGGGUACACGAGCGGCGAACGGGUGAGUAACACGUGGGUGAUCUGCCCUGCACUUCGGGAUAAGCCUGGGAAACUGGGUCUAAUACCGGAUAUGACCUCCUAUCGCAUGGUGGGUGGUGGAAAGAUUUAUCGGUGCAGGAUGGGCCCGCGGCCUAUCAGCUUGUUGGUGGGGUAAUGGCCUACCAAGGCGACGACGGGUAGCCGACCUGAGAGGGUGACCGGCCACACUGGGACUGAGACACGGCCCAGACUCCUACGGGAGGCAGCAGUGGGGAAUAUUGCACAAUGGGCGAAAGCCCGAUGCAGCGACGCCGCGUGAGGGAUGACGGCCUUCGGGUUGUAAACCUCAUUCAGCAGGGACGAAGCGCAAGUGGCGGUACCUGCAGAAGAAGCACCGGCUAACUACGUG
rnacentral:rRNA from 1 species